rnacentral:tRNA from 1 species
GGACCCGUAGCUCAGCCAGGACGGAGCGGCGGCCUUCGGAGCCGUAGGUCCCGGGUUCAAAUCCCGGCGGGUCCG